CCCGGGGGUGAACGUCCAUCGUAAAAUCCAUCGGGUAAUCCAGAGUACUUGGACUGAGCAUGACCUUGUGCGACAGUGCACAAACAGUAAUGUAACCCUGAACAACUUCCAAGGCUUAAAUGAAACCAGCAAUUCUGGCUGAAAAAAGUAGAAGAAAUGCUGCUGAGAGGCAAAAUAUCAUGCUUGAUGUGGCUUGCAUGUUUGGUACAUGAGAGCUGUGCCUGCAAAUAUGAAAAUGUGUGCUAUAUGGUUUAGAAAUAUGAAGAUAAAGUUGCUCAUUUCCACUCAGGCUUUGAUGUCACUUGGGAAGGACCCAGUGAGUGACAUGCAUAAACAGAUGAACAAGAUUCCCACUGUCCCUACCUGUUAUCUAAUGAAACCACAACCAAGGGAACCAGCUUGGCAGAAUCAGCAAAGAAAGAAGACCCUGUUGAGCUUGACUCCAGUCUAGUCUGGAAACCUGGUGGAUUCACUUCAGCUUCAAUGCAAGAAUUCCAGCGGAAGAUUAUACAUCACUGGCAUUGGACUGUUAGAUUAGCAUGUGUGUGUGUGUGUGUGUGUGUGUGUGUGUAUAA